GGCUGCCUAUGGGAGGCAGCAGUGGGGAAUAUUGCACAAUGGGGGAAACCCUGAUGCAGCGACGCCGCGUGAGUGAUGGAGUAUUUCGGUAUGUAAAGCUCUAUCAGCAGGGAAGAUAAUGACGGUACCUGACUAAGAAGCCCCGGCUAACUACGUGCCAGCAGCCGCGGUAAUACGUAGGGGGCAAGCGUUAUCCGGAAUUACUGGGUGUAAAGGGAGCGUAGACGGUUAAGUAAGUCUGGAGUGAAAGGCCGGGGCCCAACCCCGGGACUGCUCUGGAAACUAUUGAACUUGAGUGCAGGAGG
rnacentral:rRNA from 1 species